rnacentral:rRNA from 1 species
GUUCGGUCCCUAUCCGGCGCGGGCGCAGGAUAUCUGAGAGGAGCUGUCCUUAGUACGAGAGGACCGGGAUGGACAGACCGCUGGUGUACCUGUUGGCCUACCAAGGCCAUGGCAGGGUAGCCAAGUCUGGACGGGAUAAACGCUGAAGGCAUCUAAGCGUGAAGCCCCCCUCAAGAUGAGAUAUCCCAUCGCGAAAGCGGGUAAGACCCCUUGAAGACGACGAGGUAGAUAGGUUAGAGGUGGAAGUGCAGUAAUGUACGUAGCUGACUAAUACUAAUCGGUCGAGGGCUUAUCCAAAA